CAGCAGCCGCGGUAAUACGAAGGGGGCUAGCGUUGCUCGGAAUUACUGGGCGUAAAGGGAGCGUAGGCGGGUCGUUWAGUNRGRGGUGAAAGCCCGGGGCUCAACCUNGGAAAUGCCUUCRAUACUGGCGACCUUGAGUGYGGGAGAGGUGAGUGGAACUCCGAGUGUAGAGGUGAAAUUCGUAGAUAUUCGGAAGAACACCAGUGGCGAAGGCGACUCACUGGCCCAUUACUGACGCUGAGGCUCGAAAGCGUGGGGAGCAAACAGGAUUAGAUACCCUGGUAGUCCACGCUGUAAACGAUGAGUGCUAGUUGUCGGCAUGCAUGCAUGUCGGUGACGCAGCUAACGCAUUAAGCACUCCGCCUGGGGAG
rnacentral:rRNA from 1 species